GUACAUAUGGUGUAGAUGGUUUAUCACGUCCUGCUUAACAUUUGUAGUAGGCGUAGAUAUUGCGGUGUUGGGUUCAAGUCCCAAUGUGUCCA